rnacentral:lncRNA from 1 species
AAUCUGCAAGCCAGCUUCACCCCUCCCAUCGAGUUCUGGUCAGGAGGCUUCUGGUUGAGUUCAAAUUGCUAUAAAGUUCAGCUGGAGCCUUCCUUCUCCCUGUGGCCUUUUCCCAGUACCUCUGGCCACCCUCCCGAAGGACCUUUGUAAGGCCAGGCAAAAAUGGCUUGCUAGGGGACCCAGUGAUCUCCCAGGGCUUUUUCCAACUGCUUCCUCUUCCCCUAUAUUUUGCUUGGCUCUCUAAAUCGACUCAGCUCCAGGGUCUCCCUCUGUUGCCCAGGCUGGAGGACAGUGGUAUAAUCAUAGCUAACUGCAGCUUUGAACUCCUGAGAACAGCAAUCCUCCUUCCUCGGUCUUCCGCAGCAUUGGGAUUACAGGUCCUGAAGAAAAUGAAGUUGAUGUUUCAGUGAGACACCUGUAUGCCAGAGAGUAAAAGGGAUUAUUGUGGAUUCCUGAGAAUUUUCUACAUAUGAAAUCAUGUCAUCUAUGAACAGAGAUGGGACUGUCUCGUUGGAGGAAAACAAGCUCAGGGCUCCCACUGAUUCCACAUUAUGUUGCAAGCUCCUACGAAGCUCCCACUCAAAAAGAAAAAAAAAACAAAACCUGAAAUCUGAAAUAGAAAUUAUCAGCCCGAGAAUGAGAUGUCCCUAAUGCAUAAAGAGUUCUGCUAAGGAAAUGAAGCAUGUUCUUCAAGCAAGAAAGAAACUCUUUUCUGGAUUACAGUUAUUCUGACAGCCACAGGCCUCACAGAACUAGCAUAGCCAAGAUUUACACUUCAAAGAAGCAACUAAGGAAGGUAAUGGAGGAAGGAAGAACAUCUCAAAGGACAGAUGUCAAUAUACUUGAAAGAAAUGCUGACAGAGAAGAACCAGGCUCAAUCAACAAACAUUAUCACCUCCAGAGGGACCUACCUGGUAAAACUCAGUGGGAUUUCAGAAUUCCUAUUGGCCACCCACUGCUCUUUGCCUCACAUUUCUUACUUUUCUGAAUGUGUGUACAUUGUGUUUAUCCGCUCCUAUUUCAGCAUUUUACACGUUGUGUGUGGAGGGCAAAUCACAUUUGUAUUUAGCUCAUAGACCACCAGAUGAAGAGAAGCAUCAUGUGCAAUCUUAUAUAAAUCAUUGGAUCCUGAAUUUCAAUCCUGAUUGUCAUUAAAUGUCUUUUGGAUAU